GACGAACGCUGGCGGCGUGCUUAACACAUGCAAGUCGAACGGAAAGGCCCUGCUUUUGUGGGGUGCUCGAGUGGCGAACGGGUGAGUAACAAGUGAGUAACCUGCCCUUGACUUUGGGAUAACUUCAGGAAACUGGGGCUAAUACCGGAUAGGAGCUCCUGCUGCAUGGUGGGGGUUGGAAAGUUUCGGCGGUUGGGGAUGGACUCGCGGCUUAUCAGCUUGUUGGUGGGGUAGUGGCUUACCAAGGCUUUGACGGGUAGCCGGCCUGUGAGGGUGACCGGCCACAUUGGGACUGAGAUACGGCCCAGACUCCUACGGGAGGCAGCAGUGGGGAAUAUUGCACAAUGGGCGGAAGCCUGAUGCAGCAACGCCGCGUGCGGGAUGACGGCCUUCGGGUUGUAAACCGCUUUCGCCUGUGACGAAGCGUGAGUGACGGUAAUGGGUAAAGAAGCACCGGCUAACUACGUG
rnacentral:rRNA from 1 species